rnacentral:ribozyme from 1 species
GGUUUCUUCCAUGGAAAGCAAUAUUCUGUUUUGCCAGAAGGAGACGACAAAUUGAGAAAACCGAUGGAAUUAGGAGAUGCCGAUACUACUGUUCCUGCUUGGAG